CUUUUAUUUUGAAGUAUAGUGAUGUUGAUGUUUCCCCCUCCCAGCCGGAAGUGCGGUUUAAACUCUGCAGGCACUUCCACCUUACAGUUUCACCAUGUCUAAGUUCAAAACAGUAGUUUGGCCUAAAGUGAUUUUAUUUGGCGACUCCAUCACACAGUUUUCAUUUCAAGCUAAUGGGUGGGGAGCAGAAAUUGCCAACAAAUUAGCAAGGAAGUGUGACGUUGUAAACAGAGGAUUGUCCGGCUACAACUCCAGAUGGGCUAAGAUUGUUCUUCCUCGCCUCAUCAGCAGCCAGAACUCAUCAGGCAACAACAUAGCUGCAGUCACUGUCUUCUUUGGAGCCAACGACUGUGCACUGGAAGAUAAAAACCCCCAGCAGCACGUCCCUCUGCAGGAGUAUUCAGAGAACCUGAAGGAGAUAACCAGGCUCCUGGCUUCAAUUGGAGUGUCAGCAGACAAAGUUAUCUUCAUUGCGCCUCCGCCUAUUCAUGAGCCAGCCUGGGAGAAGGAGUGCAUUUUGAAAGGAACUACUCUCAAUCGCCACUACUCUGUAGCGGGGCAGUAUGCCCAGGCGUGUGUCCAGGCUGCAGGUCAGUGCGGUGCAGACGUCCUGGACCUCUGGACACUAAUGCAGAAAGAUGGACAGGACUACACAGCCUACCUGUCCGAUGGACUGCAUCUCUCAGAGAAGGGAAACCAGUUUGUGGCUGAACACCUGUGGAGGCUGCUAGAGAGCCGAGUGGCCGACCUGCCCUUCAUCCUGCCCUACUGGGGAGACGUGGAUGCCAAGAGCCCAGAGAGCAGCCUCCUCUGUGACCAGUGAAGAGAUCGUUAUUGGGCAUUUUGUUAAGGAAAAAUAUUCUGCACUGGACAUGUUGUAGAGAGCCCAACACUGGACUGCAUUCCUGCUGUGAGACAAAGAAGCAGCUGCAAUUUGUAUUUGCCAGUCCUGCCUCUUGAGGCGCCGCCGGUCCCUGGCUGGCAGGUUCUGUUCUGUCAGAUCCUCGUAGGAGGAUUUCGUAGCCGACGAGCAGGCUCCUGCGGUUGUGAAAUCGUCCGACAGGCCCUCCUCUCCCAGGUGAGAGUCGCUGCUGGUG